AGUGAACGCUGGCGGUAGGCCUAACACAUGCAAGCCGAACGGCAGCACAGUAAGAGCUUGCUCUUACGGGUGGCGAGUGGCGGACGGGUGAGGAAUACAUCGGAAUCUACUUUUUCGUGGGGGAUAACGUAGGGAAACUUACGCUAAUACCGCAUACGACCUACGGGUGAAAGCAGGGGAUCUUCGGACCUUGCGCGAUUGAAUGAGCCGAUGUCGGAUUAGCUAGUUGGCGGGGUAAAGGCCCACCAAGGCGACGAUCCGUAGCUGGUCUGAGAGGAUGAUCAGCCACACUGGAACUGAGACACGGUCCAGACUCCUACGGGAGGCAGCAGUGGGGAAUAUUGGACAAUGGGCGCAAGCCUGAUCCAGCCAUACCGCGUGGGUGAAGAAGGCCUUCGGGUUGUAAAGCCCUUUUGUUGGGAAAGAAAAGCAGCAGGUUAAUACCCCGCUGUUCUGACGGUACCCAAAGAAUAAGCACCGGCUAACUUCGU
rnacentral:rRNA from 1 species